rnacentral:lncRNA from 1 species
GGAAGCUAUGUGGCGUUGGAAAGUUGCCAAGUUCGUGUUUCAGAUGUGGACGGAGAACCACUUUUUCAGGCGGACAAGACAUUUCCGGCUUUGUUGCCCAAGAGUAACCACCAACAAAAUCCACUUUCGCGCGGGUCUGAAGACGCAGUGUCCUCAGUGUAAAGGUUGGUGCCUCGCAUGAGAAUCUAUCGUAACCCCACUCUUGCUCUCAUCCAGUUCGCGGAGGGGGGUCUCAGGUACUGUCGACGCUACUCUACCUUCUCCGUUCUUUUCCCGUCCACAACUUCCAGUAACGUGCCACCAGAUCGCAAUGACGGCGUACUUGCUACCAGCUCCCAAAAAGUUCCGACAUCCGUGUCAAAAAACGCCGCUGCACACGCGCGCGGCAGCCGUAUGUAUGGCGCGGCUCUUGUUCGCGGCACAUAGGACGCCAGGUAACGGGGCUUUUUUCAAAACAGAACGAAGGUGGAGACGGUGUUCGCCUCUACGACAUCAUACACUCAUUGUCUGUGGUUCGUUCCAACACUAAGGGGAAGUGAGGGAAGUACGCCGUGACAGCUGCCGCGUCGUGUAUACAAAAGUAGUUCAGGGUCCUUUCAUAGAUGCAUAUGCAUCUUCGUACGUACGUAUGCGCGAUCAAAAAACCAAUGCCAUACAGCGUUUGCACUUUCGAAAUUUGUUUCCUAUCACUUCCUUGUGCCGCCCUGAUAACACCUUCGGUCCCGUCAUCAGAGUUUGCCUGCAAAAUGUCUAGCCAAUAACUCCCACUUAAAUUCCGUUGCAAAACAAAAAACUUGGUU